GUUGUGCUUUCAAAAUUAGUUUAAGUUAGUUUCACUUCCAAUAGUGUUAACAUACUACACAGGUCAUUAUCAAGAUUGUUUUUUUUUAUUUCAUUGUAAGUGGGCUAAAGCAGUUAAUUAAAAAUAGUCUAACAUAAAUGUAAAUGCUGUAAUUUGAUUAUUUUAAUAAACAUGUAACUUGGAUGGAUUAGAUGCUGGCGUGACCACAGUGCACACGUCUGCUGUUGCGCACAGUGGUCCAAGGCACCGCUCAGGGAGUUUGUGUGUUCGCUCAGACACAUGAAAUAUUAGAGGGAACAUUGUGUCACAGUGUCAUGUUAAUCAUAUUUUGCAGGGCCAUGGCAGGACAGAGGCAGGGCUGCUGGAGUUUGAAGCUCCUCAUCAUCUUCAGCCUCCUCAGCCUCACUGAAGAGUUCGAGGUGAAAGAAGAUGAGUGGGAGGAGCUCGGCUCUGACAUCGCUGCACUGCAUCGACUCCAAGGACUGUCUGAACACAUGUUUGAUGAAAGCUUUAUGAACACCUCAACAACCAGGGAAAAUGGCUACCACCAAUCAAGAUUUGGAAGAUCUGUGAAAAGGCUGGACACUGAAGAAAACCCACUAACUUUGCUGGAUGGAUUUCAGGACUGUGAAAACGUCACAGCUUAUGUCAUUACGAAGGAGAAGGACUUUAAUGCCUUCUUGGCACAUAUCGAGAAACAGAAGGUCCAAGACUGGCUGCUGGGUGCUUCAGAGAUCUCCCACAGCUACAACCAAAAGCUUCUGAUCAUGACCGACACAGAGAAAUCCACCAGUGACAGAGUCCAGCAGGAAUACAGCAUGGAUCCUCAUUACUCCGUGAAAGUCACCAAGGACUGCCUGUUCAACAACUCCUGUGUACCAGCAGCAGACAGCUACACUGUGGUCAAAAUAUUUGGAAGUGUUUCAGAAGAUGGACAAACUGUGUCUGGACUUGAUGGAUCUUCACUUGCAAAGCUGAUGUUGAAACCAUCUCUGGAAGCGGCUCCAGUUUUCUCUCUCGAUGGAAACACAACCACACAGUUCCAACAGAACUUUAUUCGGGUUUUUAUGCUCCGCGGCCUCCAAACAGUCUUAGAAACCAACCAAAACUAUCAGCAGAUUUACCAGGUGAUGGAUCGACCUGACUCAGUUUCCAGCUACAAAAUCCCACAAAGGCCAGCUGAUCACAGCACACAGUAUGACCACCAGCAGAUCGUAAUGAUGGAAAAUGACCCUGUGGUCAGAAGAGCUGCUGAAUAUUUGUAUGAGAAACAUCCAACAGUUAGUUCUGUCUAUGUUCUUGAUGAAAACCAAAGACCCAAACUGAUCCACGGUGAACCAGUGUCUCUGUCAGAGGACAGCAGACUGGUGCUGGUAGGUCAUGGUGAAAGAGACAACGCAAGAGAAAUGAGACUGUCAGGAUACAGUUCAGGAGAGGUGGCAAAAAUCAUUGAAAGGACAAACAGAGGCAGUGAUAAAAUCAAAACAACGAGUGUGGUGGCCUGUGAGGUCGGAUCAGACCAACGAUUCAUGGAAACUCUGCUGAGGGACCUCCAUGAACAUAACAUCAAGACAGAGCUUCAUGUGAGGGACGCUCUCGUCCAAGUCACACACACAGGAAAGAAAAUCACUCAGGAAAUCUCUCCAGAGGGGCUGCAAUGGAGACAUAAAGACAACAGCAGGAAAGUGGUGGCAAUACUUGAUAGCAACGGAGAUGUAAUAAUGAGACAUGAGCCAGGAAGUAAAGGAGAGGCUGUUUUUACCAAUGAAAGAAACUUUCUGGGUGUCCAGAAACAGUUUCUUUCAUUGCUUUUUCGUCCCCAAAAAACCCCAAUGUUUUUUCAUACCCCCCAAAAAACAAUGUUUUUUCAUCCCCAAAAAACAAUGUUUUUUCAUCCCCAAAAAACAAUGUUUUUUCGUCCCCAAAGAAACUGGGGAAACAAAAAACCAGAACAAAGUGUCAUAAAAGAAAACAGCUGGCCAGAUAAACCAAAGAGCUUUGUUAACCCAAAGGUUUUUAAAGAGAAUGACCAAAAUAAAGUUAACGAGAGGAAAUCUGAUAAUGAUGAACUCGAGGCUCUGUCUUGGGGAAUCUUUCACUCAGAUCAACCAGUACCAGCGAAAAUCAGUGUCAACAACCCAGAACAAAUAAGAGAAUAUGUAAUAGGGAAAAGAGAAAAAAAGAUUAUAAAAGAGGAAACUAAAACAACUAUUAGGUGGAUAGAUGAUAAAGAUGAAAAAAGAAAACUCCUUGAUGAAUGUUAUGAGAUUAAAUCAGGAAAAGAUAUUAAAAAUAUAAUACGUCAUUAUGCAAAGAAUGGAGAAGAAAAGACUACAUACCUGAAGAUCAAUGACUGGAUAAUUGAAGUUGACCCUCAGACUCUGUACGUGUAUCCUGUUGGAAAAAAGCUUGACAACAAUGAAAUAGGAAACAACAAUAAUGUAAUUGAUGAUAUUAAGAAAUGUAUUAAUGAACAGGUGGGGAAAGAGAAAUACAAACACAUGCGAGACAAGAUUUUUAAAAAUGUAAAGAAUGAGGGAGAAAAAAACCAACAAAAACAAAGAUAUGCUGAAUAUGUGAGAAAUAUUUUUCGUCAAGAGUAUGCAGAUGUUUUUGAAGGACAUCUGACAGGUUACAAAAGACUGUCCAUGGAGGCCUGGAUGACCACACAUUUCACUGCAUCAGUUAUAUCUGAAUCUGUGAGAAAUUUCCGAACAUUCCCUCUGACUCUUAUGGCCCUGGAUAUGGUUCAAAGCAAGGACAAUAAUAUCCGACAGAAAGGCCUGGAUUUUUUCUUUGAAGAUCAUCCAAUGACAAGAGGAGGCAGUUGGAUUGACCCAGAGAGUCGAGGAUUCACAGGCUCAGCAACACCUGAAGAUUCCAGCAAAUUAAGAAAUUUUCUAAACCGUAAAACCGAGGAGCAGCUCAUGCGUGACCUUGUUGAACUUGUAAAACGAGAGCGUAACUUCUUUACAGAAUGGAAAAAAACCGUUGGUAAUGGUGAAACUGAUGUGGUGAAACGCAUAACUGAACUUUCAAACACCUACAAAACAAUGAAUGAUGAUUCAGACAUUCAAAAAAAAUACAAUGAUUUCAAAACAGACACCAACAAGAUAACACAACCUGACGAUCAAGCAAAACCUUCCACAUCUGGAACACUGGGAGGAUACGAUGAUGGCUACGUCACAAUGCGAGACCUGAAUUCAGCCUCAGAAUUAGAAAAUACCUUCAAACAUGAAUCUUAUUUCUCUAGAGCAUCUGCAUUGUUGGCUGAAGACGUCCAUGCUGCACUACAGGACAGAUACGGUGAAACUCUGGCAGGAAUGCACCUUCAGGAGGGAACGGCCCGAAUAGAAAACGGACAGUUUGUAUGUAAGCUCGUGUCAGAGAGAGCUGGUGCUGAGCCCGUGGAGUUCAGGGCUGAUUUAUCUCCACAGAGUCAACAUUACAGUGAAAAGAUGUUGGAGAACAUUGAGACAUCAGUGCAUGAGAUGGAGGAGCACAGUUCAGCAUCCUCCCAUCAGGUCAACAAGUAUGUAGAGAAGACUGGAACUGGUGUUGGAGCUCUGGGUCUCAUGCUGGGACUGAAAGGAGCUGUUCGUGCCUUUGAAGAGGGAAACAUCGAAGCUGGUGUGAUGGGCUCUUUGCAGACAGUUCAUGCAGUGACGGCUAUGACAACAUCUGCUAUUGCAAGCAAAGCUCUGACCUCAGAGUCAAGAAUUGCAAGAGCUGCAACAACGAUCAUGAGGAGACCUGCAAUGAAGCGUUUUAUGGUAGUUAUACGAAUAGCGGAAAUUAUCUUUGCGAUCUACAAUGUAAAACAAGAUUUGGAGAGAGGAGAUGCUCUGGGAUACAUUGAUGCUGCGUUAGAUAUUACCAUGAUUGUGUUAGAUGUUUUUGAGAUUUUUCAGCCUCAACAGAGACCAUACAUCGCACCUAUAAAUCUGGCUCUAUCAGUAGUGCGGAUGACCACUGAUGAUGUUUAUAUGGGCAUCCAGAAUGAACUGAACAGCCUCCCAGCGGACGCUGGAGUUUUGGACAAAAUAGCUGCUGUUUAUGUUGGCUUUGGAAAAGGGAUUAUGAACUUUCAAAUGCAUGUGGAUAGUUUGUUUUAUGACGGGCGUUAUGAUGAAAUUGAGGAGGGACGAAGACUUGUUGCACAGAUCUCAGAUUAUCACCAAUAUUAUAAAGUCACAAAGCAACAGCAUGGAACGACAGCCAUUAAUUUUUAUGCUGGCGCCUCCUCCUGGAAUGGAGGAGGCAUUAACUUCUGCCUCGCUGAUGAGGGUGAGUCUGAGCUCUGCAUGGACUAUUUUGUUUCUCGUGAUGAGAGUCCAAGAAAACAAUGCUUGAACAUUAACACAGAUGGAAGCAAAGAUAUAAUUCUUGGUCUGGGAGAGUCACGUAGAUUAGAGCACAAAACAUAUGGGAAAAAAGUACUCAUAUUUAUACCAGCUGGAUCUGUGACAGUGGUUUCAGGUUAUGAAGCUGUUUCCUAUUCGAGAUACGGGACAUACAGGGGAAACAGAGACUCUAAUCGAUUUUUUGCAGUUCAGGAACAAAAGGAAGAAUACAUGAUUGAAGUCAUGUUGAGCUACUAUUACAGACUUUAUGGGGAACCAGGGGAUGACACAUUCUUCCUCGGUCCACAGAGAAGUUAUGUUGAAGGCUCAGGAGGAAAAGACACUUACAUCAUUCCUGGAAAUGGAGGGAAAACGACCAUUAACAACUACGAUCCCUCCAGAGCACAAGACACUCUGCUUUUCAGUGUCGACUACAGCCACAUUUCUGUGUCUAAGUCAGGAAACGAUGCUGUGCUGAUGUAUGAGGGCAGUCAUACUGUAAGAAUACAAAACUGGUUUUUAGGAGAAGAUUAUCGUCACAUGAACAUGAUGUCAGGAGACGGAGUCUCAUUUGAGAUUUCCUCCACAGUGGUUUCUUCAGUUCAGCUGGUGGCCAGAGGGAUUAACAAGAUGUUUGAGAAACACGGUGCAGUUGUUGAUGCAUCACAGACACUUUUACGCACAGUUACAAACAUCUUUGGGUCCCAGUAUGAUGAUGAAGUCAUUGGAAAUGGAGAAAGGAACCUGAUAGAUGGGGGAGGAGGGCGAGAUCAUCUGAUUGGUGCUGAAGGAGAAGACAUUUACAUGGUGAAAGGCAGAAAACGUUCCUCUGUGCUGAUUGAAAAUUACUCCAGAGACGAGAAAACUGACCUGGCCAGCGUAGAAGCAAAUCUUCAUACGUUUGGAGUCAGAGUAGAAGGUGAUGAUGUUCAUCUGGAGGCUCACCAUGACAGCACAGCGUUUCAUGUUACUGUAGUGAACUGGUUCAGCUCAUCAGCACACAGACACUUACUGUUCAUCACAAAGGAUCUGAUCACCUUCACAGUGUCAGAUAACAAGGCUGACUGCCUGCAGAGGAACAUCUUCACCACAUGUAUAAAGAGCCUCAGCAUUGACUACAGCAGCUCCCCGUCUCCUCUGGAGGUGGACCUUGAGAGUGAUGAGGCUUUGGACAGCGUGACAGAGGUCCGCGGGUCAAACUCUAGUGAUGUCAUCAAAGGAAACAAAGAACACAACGUUAUCAUCCCUGGAUUAGGAGAUGAUUUCAUUGAGGGGAGAGGAGGAGAGGACUGGUACGUUAUCACAGCAGGACAAGGAAUGAAAACCAUCAACAAUCUAUCACCAGAUCUAACCUUGGACCUGCUCUUCCUUAAAGAACAAUAUCAGCAUAUAACAUGUAGAUGUGAAGGUCAGAGCGUCAUCAUUCAGGUACAGGGCAGAAGAACUGUUAUUUUACAGAACUGGUUUAAAUCAAAGAAUUAUCAGCACCUGCAGAUCAAGACCAGUGAUGGAGUAACAGCUGGACUGAAGCCCAACAUCAGCAGCUGUGGACAGGAUUUAAUGCUGCCUUUAACCAUCGACUACAGAAACCAGAGUCCUGAACCACUUCAGCCAAGGUCAGAUUUCCACAACAUACAAAUUUAUAGUGAAAGACUGCCCUGUUACACUUACAGAAGCACUUAUUUAGAGGAAUAUAGAUUUUGUGGCUACCAAGGAAAAGUGUUGAAAAUGAAUGAUGUUGAAUCAGUGAAAGAAAUGUACGGCUCCUCAGGAUUUGACAUCAUGGUUGGAAACAGCAAUGAGAAUUUACUGGAUCCACACACCGGGGGGGCACUGAUGAUAGGAGGGGAAGGCAAAGACACCUACAUAAUCAAACAUGUGGAUGAAAACAUGGUAAUCAUUGAUAACUUUGCAGAAGAUCAAAAAACUGACACUGUGCUGGUAGAAAUGGAUUUCCUUGAUGGAAGUCGAGUCAUACUGGACUCAACAAGAAAUGAUGUUCAUGUUAAAAUCAUGAAAAAUGAGGAAAGAUUAGAAUUCAUUCUCCGCAAUUAUGCUAAUGGUGAAAAACAUCAGCAUCUAGAAUUUCAGAGCUCUGAUGGCGUCCAGUUCAAACUCAAGUCUCCAAACCCAGCUGCAGGUGACUCUUUCUAUCAGGUAGAAGCUUUCAAAGUGACUCUCAGACAGUCUCAGGUGGACUGUCGUUUGGACCUCAGCACUCAGAGAAAUCUGUCAGAGGUUCACACAGUGCAAGGCUGCCCCUCCCAGUCUAAUGUUAUAAUAGGCAACAACCGAGACAAUGCUCUGAUUGGUGGAUGGAAGGACGACGCCUUGGAUGGAGGUGAUGGAGAUGACACGCUGGUAGGAGGAAAUGGAGCUGACAUCCUGAUUGGUGGGAGAGGAGACGACACUCUUUAUGGUGAAGAUGGAAAUGACACACUGAUGGGAAACUCUGGCCGGGACGUCUUCCUUCCUGGACCAGGAGCUGAUCUGGUGGACGGAGGUCCAGGCAGAGACUCGGUUCUCUAUCGGGGUGAUCAUAAGAAGGGUGAAGGGGUUUAUGUUAACCUGCUGACGGGCCAAGGCCACUACGCUGACGCUGAGGGCGACGUGUUGAAGGAUGUGGAAACUGUGGUCGGCACCAUCUAUUCAGACAUCUUAGUGUCUGGUUAUGAAAGUUCUCUUCUCAAAGGCUCAGAUGGUAACGACAUCUUGGUGUCCACUGGUGGAGAUUAUCUGGUUGGAGGUGAUGGAAAUGACAUUUACAUGUUCACUUUCAGCAACGGCUCAGUCACCAUAGACAACUGUGCGACAGACAACGCCACAGAUGUUUUGUACCUGAGCUCAAACUCAAGUCCAGAGUUUGACUGCCAACUAUUAUCUGACCGAGUCCUGCUGACCUUCUUUGGAUUCGAACAAUCAACUAUAAAAAUUGCACUGCGAGGCUGGAUUAGUGAUGAUGAUGAAUGUGGCCAUUUGCUGCUGGUGUUCAGGGAGGUGGAGGCGUCGGUGGACAUGCUGCUGCAAGAGUGCCAGUAUAGAAAGAAGGAAUCACUUUGGUCAUUGAUCAUAACCUGGGCUAUCUGCGUCACUCUUCUUGUCUUCCACUUGGCUUUUGCUUUACAAGGGUCUCGAAAAUUAAUCAGAAAAGCACAAAAACAAAAAAGACAAAAACAAGAUGAAACUAAUGUUGAAGCAGAGUCAAUGAAUGUGCUGUAGACUGCUGCUGCUGCUGCUGCUGCUGCUGCUGCUGGUGACACAUUCUUUAAAGUAUUCUGUGAUUUCACAAAUAAUUUCUUUUUAUACUUAUAAAUAUACUUCCAUUGCUAGUUACUCUAAAUGUUGAGCUAAUCAUGAGUAUUCUUGCUUUCUAAACUCUAAAUCUGUCACGUUUAUUAAUCAACUGAAAACUAAAGGAAAGUUCCUGUAAUCAUAAAUCCUGAAUCUGUCCUGUUCAGUUACACAGAGUAACCGAGGAGUCGUUCAGCUUCAAACAUCUUUAAAUUACACAAAGUCGACAAACUGUGGACAAACGUGCCAAAUACCAAAGAAAAGAGCUGCACUUGGUGUCGGUGGGAUUUACCACCGUGGAUAAUUAGACUGUUUGUGUGAAUUUCACAGCUUGAACAAGCUAGUCGAGUUCUUACCACACAUGUACCUGACAUAACACUGAUCGUCUUUUAUUGCUUUUAUUUACUGUAACAGCUGCAAAUUUCUGAGCUUAUUCAGAGGUGGAGAUUGUGAGCUAUUUUGUAAUGUGGUCUCAUCCCCCUGGCAACAUUAAAAUUGAUUUUUAAUGCUAUAUACACGUAUAUUUUGUAAUAGUUGAACAAUAAACAUUUACUGUCACUGAUUUGUGCUGUAUGGUGAUGUUAAGUGUAACCACCACUCUGAUCCAUCCAUCUAUUCACUUCCACUUAUCCUUUUCAGGGUCGCGGGGGUCACUAGAGCCUAUCCCAGCUGUCAUAGGGCGAGAGGCGGGGCACAGCCUGGACAGGUCGCAGUUGUAUUAUGUAUUAUUUUAAUAUUAAUGUCAAGUGAAUUGGAUUUUUUUCUUAGUCCAUUGUGAAAUGUAGAAAAUCACAUAGUAAUUUAAUUCAAUUCAGCUUUAUUUAUACAGCACCAAAUCACAACAACAUCCCCUCAAGGUGCUUUAUACUGUAAAGUAGACCCUACAAUAAUACAAUCAUAUCACGUCCUGCGAGCAAGCACAUCCAAGAUGACAGAGUCCCCGGAUGGAGCGCCCUCAACCAUCCUACUCAGGGACUCCAAAACCCUGACUGUUGCUCGGUGCAGAAGCACAGACAACAGUCAGGACCCGUUCCCUAACCAGAAGGCGCAGGGAACAAACUCUUUUAUUUAUUUAUUUAACCUUUAUUUAACCAGGAAUGUCCCAUUGAGAUUAAAAACCUCUUUUCCAAGGGAGUCCUGGCCAAGAGGCAGCACAUUUCCAAACAAAUACAUACAAACAAACAAGAUUAAAAAUUACACAAAACAAUUACACAUUAUUGAGGCAGUCUGUAGGCCUUUGAGUUUAGUUUUAAAAACAUUUAAAGACAACAAUUCAGUCAGUUUCCAGUCUUUCUGUAACAGGUUCCACGAAAAAGGCGCAGAGUGGACAAAGGCUUUCUUACCCAACUCUGUGCGGACAAGGGGAACAGACAGCAACAGCUGAUCAUUUGAACGCAAGGAGUAAGAACCACUAUUUGUCCUUGUGACCAAAGUACAAAUAUAAGGAGGCAGCAAUCCAAGCAUAGCUUUGUAAAUAAAAGUGUACCAAUGCCCCUGUCUUCUAAUGGCCAAAGAAGGCCAAUUUACUCUUAAGUACAAGUCACAAUGAUGGGUCAGAUUUCUACAAUUGGUGAUAUACCUCAAGGAAGCAUGAUACAUCGUAUCCAACAUUAGAAGACAUGAAGAAGAAGCGUUCAUAUACAGAAUGUCACCAUUAUCUAACACAGAUAAAAAGGUUGCAGUGACAAGACGUUUUUUUACUGCAAAAGAAAAGCACUGUUUAUUACGGGAAAAAAAACGAAGUUUCAGCCUCAGUUUCUUUACAAGUCUCUCUAUAUGUGGUUUAAAGGUAAAGGAGUCAUCUAUCCAGACACCAAGGUAUUUAUAUUCAUGAACUAUCUCUAUGACAUUUCCUUCAAGGGUGGACACCACUGGAAUAGGCUCCGGGACCUUCUUUGACUUAGAAAACAACAUUAGCUUAGUCUUGUCAGCAUUGAGAACUAAUUUUAGCUGGAUAAGUGAAUGCUGGAAAGCAACAAAGGCUUUCUGUAAGGUUUCAAUGGCCUGAGUAAGAGAUGAUCCAUAGCAGUAAAUAACUGUAUCGUCAGCAUAAAAAUGCAAAUUUGUGUCUGAGACAUUUUGACCCAAGUCAUUGAUAUAUAAAAGAAACAAAAGGGGACCCAAACUGAGCCCUGUGGCACCCCCUUGUGGACAGCAACAAAUUUAGAACAAAGACCUUCAAGUUUAAUGCACUGGGUUCUAUUAUUCAGGUAAUUUGAGAACCACGCUAUUGCAUGUUCUGACAAUCCAAGGCUGAGCAGUCUGUUUUUUAGGACAGCAUGAUCAACAGUGUCAAAAGCUUUUGAGAGGUCAAUAAAGAGUGACGCACAGUACAAUUUCUUAUCAAGUGCCAUAAUAAUAUCAUUUAUCACUUUCAUAGUGGCAGUGUUAGUACUGUGUUUUUUCCUGAAGCCUGACUGAAAUUUGGAAACAAUAUCAUUAGAGUACAAAAACUCCUUCAACUGGUCACAAACUAGAGAUUCCAUGAUUUUGGAUAAAACACACAAAUUUGAUAUUGGCCUAUAAUUAGUCAACACCGAUGGAUCACCUCCUUUCAAUAAAGGCAAGACAAAAGCUGAUUUCCAAACCGAUGGAAUUUCUUUGGUUUUAAUUGAAAAAUUAAAUAAAAUUGAAAGUGGUUCUGCAAUAAAAUCCGCUGCCAGCUUCAAAAAAUAAGGUUCCAUCAAGUCUGGACCAGGAGGUUUUCUGUGAUCCAAAGUCUUUAAAGCUUUAUGCACUUCAUAAACACUAAAAGGUACAAAGUUAAAACGGUCUCCAGAAAACAUAGAGAAUUCUGGGCAAGAAUUUGUUAAAAAAGUUUCUGCAGAAUCAAACAAGGAACCCACUGAUAAAAAGUGCUCAUUAAAGCAAUUCAAAAUUUCAGUUUUAUCAUUAAUUG
ensembl:lncRNA